rnacentral:rRNA from 1 species
UCUCCUGGAAACGGGUGGUAAUGCCGGAUGCUCCAGUUGACCGCAUGGUCCUCUGGGAAAGCUUUUGCGGUAUGGGAUGGGGUCGCGUCCUAUCAGCUUGAUGGCGGGGUAACGGCCCACCAUGGCUUCGACGGGUAGCCGGCCUGAGAGGGCGACCGGCCACAUUGGGACUGAGAUACGGCCCAGACUCCUACGGGAGGCAGCAGUGGGGAAUAUUGCACAAUGGGCGCAAGCCUGAUGCAGCGACGCCGCGUGCGGGAUGACGGCCUUCGGGUUGUAAACCGCUUUUGACUGGGAGCAAGCCCUUCGGGGUGAGUGUACCUUUCGAAUAAGCACCGGCUAACUACGUGCCAGCAGCCGCGGUAAUACGUAGGGUGCAAGCGUUAUCCGGAAUUAUUGGGCGUAAAGGGCUCGUAGGCGGUUCGUCGCGUCCGGUGUGAAAGUCCAUCGCUUAACGGUGGAUCCGCGCCGGGUACGGGCGGGCUUGAGUGCGGUAGGGGAGACUGGAAUUCCCGGUGUAACGGUGGAAUGUGUAGAUAUC